rnacentral:lncRNA from 1 species
UUUUUUUUUUUUUAGCUACAAAAGUCAAUGAGGAAAACAAACAGAUGGUUUUAUGUCAGAAAACUAAAUAGUACAAAAUAUUUUAAUGCGGAGUUCCCGUCGUGGCGCAGUGGUUAACGAAUCCGACUAGGAACCAUGAGGUUGCAGGUUCGGUCCCUGCCCUUGCUCAGUGGGUUAAUGAUCCGGCGUUGCUGUGAGCUGUGGUGUAGGUUGCAGACGCGGCUCGGAUCCCGCGUUGCUGUGGCUCUGGCGUAGGCCGGUGGCUACAGCUCCGAUUCAACCCCUAGCCUGGGAACCUCCAUAUGCCGCGGGAGCGGCCCAAGAAAUAGCAACAACAACAACAACAAAAAGACAAAAGACAAAAAAGACAAAAGACAAAAAAAAAUAUUUUAAUGCAACUUCAAUUCCAUCUUCACGCCCUUAACAUAGAAGGGCAGGUAGCACUUACAAGGGCUCCAUCUGUUCCAAGCUCGGUUCCAAGUACUUCAUAGGAACAACCUCCCUUAAUCCUGAUAACAACCCUCAUGUUGCCCAUUUUAAAGAUGAGGAAACUGACACGAAGAAAAGUAACUCGUCUAAGGAAACAGCUAAUAAAUGACAAAGCCAGUGCAAAGACGGAUCUGCUUGAUUCCAAAACCCAUUUAUUUAACCCUUGUUUACUACUGACAAUAAAAACUCUUAUAAACUAACUUGAUGUUGAAAACUUACACCUGGUAUUAACAAACGACAAGUUCCCAAGUGGCUAAACUUCACAUCUCUUAAGAGUUUUCAUCUAAAGAGUUCCCAUCGUGGCUCAGUGGUUAACGAUCUCUCGUUGCUGUGGCUGUGGUAUAGACGGGCGGCUACAGCUCUGAUUAGACCCCCAGUCUGGGAACCUCCAUAUGCCACAGAAGCAGCCCUAAAAAGACACACAUACAUACAUAAAUGGAAGCUAAAAGGAUUCCUUCAGAUAAGUAUGGAGACCAGUCCCUUAAAAUCGUUAGCAACAAAAGUUUUGCACACUCAUGACUCCGCAGUCCUGCAACCCGAGGACUGUUUCCGACUGCAGGGAUUCGACACUUUUUCUGCAUGUUUCCAGAUCCUACUUAGCCUUCAGAGAGGUCAUUCCCGUCCCUCCCGUCAUCCAUGUAUGUUUCUCCUGUCACUCUGGAAAUGACUUCAACUUCUUAAUUCCUACAACUACACUUAUUAUAAUGGUUUAGCUUAUUGCACAGGGUUUAGCAGAUAAUGACUCCCCCAAUAAGAAGAAAAAUAUCUGAAGUAAAAGAGACAAGAUUUACCCUCCUACCUGAAACCACCACCACCAAAUAUAUAUAUAACAAUGCUUUUCAGGGUACUGCAUAGCAGGCAAUGAGGAACCCUGGCCGCUGAGAGAUAAGAAAGAAAUCAGGUGAGACCCACAUUUGCGCCUGCAUAUACGGUCUUGAGAGGGUUUACCAGGAAGAGGGAAUCCAGCUCACUCACUCCCUGGGUUCAAAAGACAGAGGGAAAGUCUGGGAAGACCAAGGCAGCGAGAGUGGAUACAACAGACAACCACAGAGGGGAGACUCUCCCAGAGAGAGCACCAAAUACGUGCAGGGGAUCUUUUAAAAAUUGAGCAGGGUACCAAUUUGCAUAAAUGUGAGGACACAGUCAGUCAGGGAAAGCACCUGCUUGAAAGGACUAAAAAGAACAAUACCCAGAGCUGACCUAAGACUGAGAACAGGGGCGGCCCAGGGAAA